UGCCAGCCGCCGCGGUAAUACGUAGGGUGCGAGCGUUAAUCGGAAUUACUGGGCGUAAAGCGUGCGCAGGCGGCUUUUUAAGACAGGUGUGAAAUCCCCGGGCUUAACCUGGGAAUGGCGCUUGUGACUGGAAGGCUAGAGUGCGGCAGAGGGGGAUGGAAUUCCUGGUGUAGCAGUGAAAUGCGUAGAUAUCAGGAGGAACACCGAUGGCGAAGGCAGUCCCCUGGGUCGACACUGACGCUCAGGCACGAAAGCGUGGGGAGCAAACAGGAUUAGAUA
rnacentral:rRNA from 1 species